CCCACCUCCCUGCUCUGAUAGUUUCCUCUGAGUCGUGGCAGCAGGAAACGCAGUGGAGCUCCAGUGACCCCUCAGAGGCCCGCUGCUUAGCGACACAGCUCGCCUGUGUCCUUGCCAGCCUCACACAGCCCCCAGUCUGGUCUCAGGACGGUUCUGUUCUGAAUCUAUCUCCCCCACCAGAGGAGUCCAGCCGCGACCAGCCGGACGACAGGAAGGACCUGCCAUGGGGUGCCCAGUUUGAGCUGCCUCCAGUGCUCCUGGAGAGGGACAGAUGAGAACACUCUCCAUGUGCCGGAAGUCAGCUUCACCUUCCCCAGAGCCAUGUGGCAAAGCAGUACAAGCCCAAGCAGGGUGCCCCUCCUGCCCUGGGACAUCAGAGGGUCCAGAGACAGUGGAGACCAACGCCACAGCCCACUGCCCCCUGACCACCCCUACAAGUGCCCAGACAGCAGCACCAAGAAGCCAAGAAGACCAAAAUAGAUGGCGGUGGUGUCAGGCAGUGCCGGCUGCAGGGAAGACCACAGCACCAGUCCCUGGCACAGGAUCUCUUCUUAGCCCUGACGCUGGAUGUGUGAGAUGGUGGACUCUCUUGGCAGGGACACUUUGGGGGCAGGACCCCCCAGCCCAGCUUCCCACAGCCCUUGUGCCAGAGCCAGUGGCUGCCUCCUUGCAGGAAAAGAGCCAUGCAUGGAGUGUGGGGGCCCUUCCCAAGGGCCUUUUUGAGGUCACUCUCAAUUGUAGAGGCUUUUCCUGGGAUGGCUCCACAUCGUGGUUUCUGCUCUGGGAGGACGCUGUCUGUGGCGGGGGGACGCUAGGCCAUUGCCCAGCCUUGGGGGUCACGCUACAGAAGCUGCUGGGGACAGCCAAGCGGCCACAGGCUACAGGGUCAGGAAGAACGUGUCUCCUACCCCCACAAGCCUGGGCCAGCCUGCAGAGUGGCCCGGGUCCCUUCCCUGUGCCACACAGGCUUCCGUGUAAGUGCACACCAGGGAAAGACUAGAACAGUCUCCCAUCCCCAUCCCCCACCACCUUCCAGUGUCUCUCCCAGCACUCCAGUGAUGCAGAGAGAAAAAGUUGCAAAGGGCUGGACACAGAAUAGACUUGCAAGGCACAUGGAAACGGACACAAAGGCUGUGUGAACUGGGAAGCUGAUGGUCGAGGUUCUAAGUGCAUUAGGGCUGUACACUUUUCAGUAAUUUUUUCAACAUCGCAAAAACAAAAACAAAAACAAAAACCUAUAGAAAAACUUUGAGCACCGCCCUGUGGAGAGGCGUCAUCACGUUGUCUGUGAUUCCGUACUUGCUCAGCUUUCAGCCCGGAGCCCUCACCCCUUGCUCUCAGGGACCCCUUGUCUGGAGGCUGUGGGGUCAGAGCCAUCUCCCUUGCAGCAGGAGACCCCCUUCUGUGUUGGGCUGUGAAGCUGGCAGGAACAAGGAGGGGAACAGGGAUGAGCUCUGUGGACUUUGGGUAGAGGCAGCGGCGUGGUCCCCCGGCCUGAGUGGGGAGUGGCUUUUGGCCCCGUGCGUGCCCGUCCCGUGGUGGGCACCCUAUGCAUGUUGUACAAACUGCAGAGCCGGAUGUCACAGCUGCAUCCCUGCUGUCUGGGAAGACAGGCUGGGGGCUUUCUUGAAGCUGUGUUGUCCUUCCGGGGUCUCCUGAGGAG
rnacentral:lncRNA from 10 species